AAAACAUAUCCACAUUAUUUUUAAUUUACAAAAUAUAGUUUUAUUUACAAAAUCUAUCACAUAUCAUUUUGUAUUGAAAAUUUUAGCCCUUUUCUCACAUUCUUCUUUCUCGUACAAAAAUAAAAAAACUAAAUCGUACUUCCUUUCCUUUCUUCUCAAAUAUCCAAGCCCCAAACAAAAAUUUCAUAUCCAAAUUCCUAAUUUUCCAUUCCCAAUAUCCCUAAACGGACGUGCAGCAGCCAAGGCCAACAUUGUUUCUGACAGCAACUCCGGCAAGCGACCUGCCCGAUUCCCGCGACUUCAAUCCCUCCGAUUUAGCUGUUUUCUAUUUGCGAGACAAAAUGGCAGAAGAAGGUGGACAGAGGGCUAAUGACACAUAACAUUACUGACACGAAGAAGCAACCCAUGCCAACAUCCUAAUCUAUGGAUUCUAUUCAACUCCCUUUUACAUGUAUAUAAUUGAUUCUCCUGUCAUUUUUCCUUUCGACUAGUCACGAGCUUUGCAAAGUAGAUUGGUAUAUGUGUCUACAACUUCAAUACAAAAGAAUAAUAGAGGAAGGAUAUCAAUGAUUUUAUGGUAUAUCAAUUGUAUAGAAAUUGAUGUAUUUAUGUUGCAGAGUAUGAAUUGUAUAGAAAUUGUUGUAUAUAUAAUGCAUGAAUUGUAUAGAAUUUGAUGUGUCAACAACUUUAUGAUGUCUGGAUCGUAUAGAAGUUGUUGUAUCAAUAAUUUUAUGGUUUUUGAAAUAUUUAGAAAUUGAUGUAUUAAUAGUUUUAUGGUGUCUGAAUUAUAUAGAGAUUGGUGUAUCAAUAAUUUUAUUUUAUAGUGUCUGAGAUAGUUAGAAA
rnacentral:lncRNA from 1 species